UACGUAGGGCGCAAGCGUUGUCCGGAAUUAUUGGGCGUAAAGAGCUCGUAGGCGGCCUGUUGCGUCCGCUGUGAAAACCCGGGGCUUAACCCCGGGCUUGCAGUGGAUACGGGCAGGCUGGAGGCAGGCAGGGGAGAACGGAAUUCCCGGUGUAGCGGUGAAAUGCGCAGAUAUCGGGAGGAACACCGGUGGCGAAGGCGGUUCUCUGGGCCGAUACUGACGCUGAGGAGCGAAAGCGUGGGGAGCGAACAGG
rnacentral:rRNA from 1 species